CCUACGGGAGGCAGCAGUGAGGAAUAUUGGUCAAUGGACGAGAGUCUGAACCAGCCAAGUAGCGUGAAGGAUGACUGCCCUAUGGGUUGUAAACUUCUUUUAUCAAGGAAUAAAACGAGGCACGUGUCCCUUUUUACAUUUACUUUAUGAAUAAGGAUCGGCUAACGACGUGCCAGCAGCCGCGGUCAUACGUAGGAUCCGAGCAUUAUCCGGAGUUACUGGGUGUAAAGAGUUGCGUAGGUGGCAUAAUAAGUAGCUAGGGAAAGCUGGUGGCUCAACCAUUCAGACUAUUAGCUAAACUGUUAAGCGCGAGACCGUUAGGGGUAACUGGAAUUUCUAGUGUAGGAGUGAAAUGCGUAGAUAUUAGAAGGAACACCAAUAGCGUAGGCAGGUUACUGGGACGGUUCUGACACUAAGGCACGAAAGCGUAGGGAGCAAACGGGAUUAGAGACCCCUGUAGUC
rnacentral:rRNA from 1 species